GAUGAAGAACGUAGCGAAAUGCGAUAAGUAGUGUGAAUUGCAGAAUUCAGUGAAUCAUCGAAUCUUUGAACGCACAUUGCGCCCUUUGGUAUUCCUUAGGGCAUGCCUGUUCGAGCGUCAUUUAAACCUUCAAGCUCAGCUUGGUGUUGGGUGACUGUCCGCCGCCUCCGGGCGCGUGGACUCGCCUCAAAAUUAUUGGCGGCCGGUACAUUGGCUUCGAGCGCAGCAGAAACGCGAACUCGGGCCCGUCGUAUUGGCUCCCAGAAGCUAUCUUCACAAUUUUGACCUCGGAUCAGGUAGGGAUACCCGCUGAACUUAAGCAUAUCAAUAAGCAGAGGA
rnacentral:misc_RNA from 1 species